rnacentral:tRNA from 1 species
GCGGGAGUAGCUCAGUUGGUAGAGCACUAGCUUGCCAAGCUAGAUGUCGCGGGUUCGAACCCCGUCUCCCGCUCCA